rnacentral:lncRNA from 1 species
UAUCAAACAUGAAAACUGGCAACUCUUUUCAGUUUCAAAAGAGGACAAUCUUCUCUUAUUUACAGAAGACAUCUAGAACACAGCUGCUGACAUGUUACAUCUGGAAAUCACUGCUUGCAUAGGCGAGUCAAAGCUUCUUAGACCUGAUUCACAAAUUAUUCUGAAUCUAGAAGGUCCCUUUCACCACAGAAUAUUCUAUGAUGUCCUGUAAAGGGAACAAUAGAAAAAGGCAGAUAUAGCCCUAUUGGGCCAACAGAGGUAUCCCUAAUAAUGCACAAUAAAGAGGCUUCUUUUCAAAAAGUAAUUUGUCUCCAAGGUGAUAUCAGAGGGGCAAGCCAUUCCUGAAAGUACAGCUUUCUUGCUCUUAGUGACCGGUCUUCUUUGGGUAGGAGCUGUUCAUAUGUUAUUUGUACCAGAGGCAUAUUGAAGCACACACAUCAUGUAUGUCUUGCAGUCUUUCUUCCUCAGAUUACCUGCAGGCAUUCCUUAAAGAGAAUCACAACACUAAAUCUUACCCAAGGGUGAGAUUUCCAAGAGUGAUAAAAACUCUUCUGCCAGUCAGGUGCCAAGGUGUCAACAUUUUUUUUAGAGCCCUCUUCCCUGUAACUGUGUAAAGUCUAGGGGCACUGAAGGCUGCCCGUAACUGCGUCGUCAUACUGCAAGUGAAAGCCAGUCAGGUCAGGAGUGACACAGAUGAGACGAGGAUUUUCUGAAGAAACGAAAGAGGCAAGUAGGAGUGUCCCAGAAUCUAUGCGGAAGGCUAUGGAGAUUCCCCAUUUUGUGAAGAUAGUGGAACAAACAGAGAACAAGACAGGUGCUAGCUCUGCAGCUCCUCAGCAGGCAGUCCUGGUGAGAAGGAUGAAGACUCCCCAUGCAGAAACGAAAGGGGCAGCAAAGACUAGCAUCACCCUUGAAUCGAUACAGAAAGUUAUGGAGAUUCCCUGUUUUGUGAAGAUGGUGGAACAGACGGAUAAGGAACUAGAACCUGAGACCAAGGCACAAGAUUUCCAAGAGCUAAAGAGAAGAUUUCAGCCUCCAAGUAUGCAGGGUCCCAUGCCUCUUGACUGCGGUCAUCUUUGGGAAUAUCUCAGAAGACUUAGCCUUUGGGAAGGGAUGGAUUUCAUGCUAGGGGCACACCUCACUGAUACCAGUCUCAUCCUACUCCACCAGAGUGUAUUGUUGUGUUACUAUUCUGCAACUCCUCGGCUGGUAGUCCCAGAUGGAAAGAUGAUGACACCCCAUGCAGGAAGGACCAUGGACAGAAACACCACGAGGGCUCAGGAAUCCAUGCGGGAGGAGGUGGAGAGGAUUCUGACUGAGAAGCUGGCUGUGUUGCAGAGCCAACUGGAAGUCUCACAGCACACAGCCCCACCUCCGUAGGAAAUGGCCAACACCCAGGCUUCCUUCCAGGCCAUCUCUGAAAAAAUGCAGUCUCUGAUGACAUUUUUGCAGAACGUGGAGGCAUCUAGAAAGCAAGAUGCCUCAGAGAUCCUUGAGAUCCUCAGAGCAGAGAUGCAGGGCAAAAUAAGCAAGGAUUUG